CUUUAGGGCACUCAGACUGGUAGGAGGACUUGUUAAUGCUUGUCUGAGAGGCUGGGCCAUACAGACAAACCUGUCAAACAAGGGGAAAUUGCAGGAAAUAAGGAUGACAGAGACAAGACCUCAUUCCCAUGAAGGACUUCAAAUGAUAGCCAACAAACUGGGGAGAACUCAGACCUCUAGACCUCUUGUCACCCUGCUAGUUAGCCAGGUCUCUUGGAAAUCAAACAUCUGAACCUGCUGAGGAGGAAUGGAGAGAAGAAUGUAUGAGCAUUGCUACUAUUUUGCUGUUUUCAAGCUCAGUCUGA